AUUGAACGCUGGCGGCAGGCCUAACACAUGCAAGUCGAGCGGAGCGGCGGACGGGUGAGUAAUGCCUAGGAAUCGGCCUGGUAGUGGGGGAUAACGUCCGGAAACGGGCGCUAAUACCGCAUCCUAUCAGAGUAGCCUAGGGCGGAUUAGCUCGUUGGUUGGGUAAAGGCCUCCCAAGGUGACGAUCAGUAACUGGUCUGAGAGGAGGAUCAGUACAACUGGCAGUGAGACACGGUCCAGACUCCUACGGGAGUCAGCGGUGGGGAAUAUUGGGCGAUGGGCGAAAGCCUGAUCCAGCCAUGCCGCUUGUGUGAAGAAGGUCUUCGGAUUGUAAAGCACUUUAAGUUGGGAGACGUUACCAACAGAAUAAGCACCGGCUAACUUCGUGCCAGCAGCCGCGGUAAUUC
rnacentral:rRNA from 1 species